UAAGGAAUAUUGGUCAAUGGACGCAAGUCUGAACCAGCCAUGCCGCGUGAAGGAUGAAGGCCCUCUGGGUUGUAAACUUCUUUUAUCUGGGACGAAAAACGGGCUUUCUAGCUCACUUGACGGUACCAGAGGAAUAAGCACCGGCUAACUCCGUGCCAGCAGCCGCGGUAAUACGGAGGGUGCAAGCGUUAUCCGGAUUUACUGGGUUUAAAGGGUGCGUAGGUGGGUAGGUAAGUCAGUGGUGAAAUCUUCAAGCUUAACUUGGAAACUGCCAUUGAUACUAUUUAUCUUGAAUACUUUGGAGGUAAGCGGAAUAUGUCAUGUAGCGGUGAAAUGCUUAGAUAUGACAUAGAACACCAAUUGCGAAGGCAGCUUACUACACAGUUAUUGACACUGAGGCACGAAAGCGUGGGGAUCAAACAGG
rnacentral:rRNA from 1 species